rnacentral:tRNA from 1 species
GCCGAUGUAGCUCAUUUGGUAGAGCAGUUCACUCGUAAUGAUCAGGUAGUCGGUUCAACUCCGAUCAUCGGCU